rnacentral:rRNA from 1 species
AUGCCCUUAGUAAUGGCGAAUGAAACGGGCAGAGCCCAGCGCUGAACCGCCGGCCCCAAGGUCGCGCGGAAUGUAGCGUUCGGGAGAGUCUCUUCCCAGUGCAACGAUCAGUCCAAGUCCACCUUGACUGGGGCCAUGGCUCAUAGAGGGUGAUAGGCCCGUAAGGCGAUUGUUGCUCUGUGCUGACUUUUUCCCUAGAGUCGAGUUGCUUGGGAGUGCAGCUCAAAGUGUGUGGUAAACUCCACAUAAGGCUAAAUAUGACCCCGAGACCGAUAGCAAACAAGUACCGUGAGGGAAAGUUGAAAAGAACUUUG